GAUGAACGCUGGCGGCGUGCCUAAUACAUGCAAGUCGAGCGAACAGACGAGGAGCUUGCUCCUCUGACGUUAGCGGCGGACGGGUGAGUAACACGUGGAUAACCUACCUAUAAGACUGGGAUAACUUCGGGAAACCGGAGCUAAUACCGGAUAAUAUAUUGAACCGCAUGGUUCAAUAGUGAAAGACGGUUUUGCUGUCACUUAUAGAUGGAUCCGCGCCGCAUUAGCUAGUUGGUAAGGUAACGGCUUACCAAGGCGACGAUGCGUAGCCGACCUGAGAGGGUGAUCGGCCACACUGGAACUGAGACACGGUCCAGACUCCUACGGGAGGCAGCAGUAGGGAAUCUUCCGCAAAGGGCGAAAGCCUGACGGAGCAACGCCGCGUGAGUGAUGAAGGUCUUCGGAUCGUAAAACUCUGUUAUUAGGGAAGAACAAAUGUGUAAGUAACUAUGCACGCCUUGACGGUACCUAAUCAGAAAGCCACGGCUAACUACGUG
rnacentral:rRNA from 1 species